AGAGAGAGAGAGAGAGAGAGAGAGAGAGAGAGGUAUUGGCACUUUUGUAACCUAAAUGUGGCACUUUCGUAACCUUGUGUGGCAUUUUUGUAACCUCGUGUGGCAUUUUUGUAACCUCGUGUGGCAUUUUUGUAACCUCGUGUGGCAUUUUUGUAACCUCGUGUGGCACUUUUGUAACCUGUGUGGCACUUUUGUAACCUGGCAUGCAUGUACACACUUCGUAUCUAUUUUUUCCAAGGCAAAAAACAAGAUGGCGGUGAGAAAGAGUUAUUUUGUUGACAGGUCAUAUUAGAAAGCUUUAAAAAGCUUCCCUGUCAUAUUGUUAUACCAGAAUAUGGUUUAAAAGCUUUUGGUAACGUCGUGGUUGAAAUUAAAAUUAUUUUUGUGAUGGCAAUAUUGGCAUACUAGUGGAAAGUUUGUUGAAAAAACACCAAAAUGCAAGUGUCAAUUUAAACAUGAAUAGCGUGACAGGUAUGGAGUAUUCAUUUCUUUACUUUGUUAUUUAAGAUUGUAUAAUCAAGAAAUCUAGAUGUACAAAUUCGUACUUAAGCUUGUUAUCUUCUCGAAUUAGUAGGAAUUUAUAUGGCAUUACUGUAAUUUUUUGGACCAAAGUCCAAAGGCAAUUGCCCGGCUUAUAGCUUUCAUUUAUACUAUGCUAUACUCUAGUUUGUUGUGUUGUUUUAACAGCAGUUCUUUAUUUUCAUAACGGUGUUCCUUGGCUUUUGAUGUUAGGAUUAUGAUAUUUGGUGGAUUUAUAUAAAAUAGAAUCUUUUGGGUCCUCUCACUAUUAAAAACAAAGGCUAUUAAAUCCAUUGUAAAAAUGCUCUUACUCUGGACGUCUAAAUACGUAUAGUACUUUGGUUUGAUGCUCUUGGAAUUUUAAUAGCCUUCCUAAAAGCAGCUGGGCACCUGCAUUUGUUCAUGUAGACUACUUGCAUUUAACAUUCAAAUUUUAUACUUAUGCCAGGUUGCCUAAUACUGUAGUACACAAAACUGACAAAAGUCAUAAAUGGCAUGCACACCCUAAUACAACAUUUGAAAUAUGACUGCUUAAUGCUUUUUGCUGCAUGCAUUCAGGGCACAUCACACAUUUUAUUAGGCAUUUAGUUCCAAAGGUGAAUAUACUAUACAAAACCAAACAAGUAUUAAUUAUAUGUUUUAAAUGGAAAAAUUGGAAACCAAGCCAGCAACUAGUUGUUUUUACCAUGCAGUUAAGAAGCUGCCAAUUUUGACAAAUUUCUCAUCCAUUGUGAUACAAUAACUUGAUUAAUUGCUAUUUGCUAAUAAUUUGUGUGUUAAAUUAUUUUGGGAACCCUGUUUUCCACUGAUAUUACAUACUAUACUUAAAUCAAAGUGACUAUAUGACCGGCAGCCGGUCACGGUUUAUCAAAUACUAAAUGGCCGGCAGUCUAGUGACUAUACUGUAGUUGAAUAUAAAAACUUUUGUUUGCGUUAACUUUUACCGAGCUUGCCGUUAGCUCAUACGGCAAGGGCGCUGCGUGCGAAAAGUUAAACGCAGUCGGGUCGGGAUGUGUUUUGUUUGACUUAGCAUUGUUUUUUCUUAAAAAUUUUUAAACUUUUUUUCCCGACUUUUCUAACUCUCAAAAGGUUAGGGUUAGGACUUAAGGGUUAGGGUUAGAAAAGGGUUUGGGGUUGGGGAUAGGUUUAUCUUAUAAAAAUUCAACUUUAACAAUAGUCACUAGACUGCCGGCCAUUUAGUAUUUGAUAAACCGUGACCGGCUGCCGGUCAUAUAGUCACUUCGUACUUAAAUUAAGGACAGUGUAUGAUUGGUUGGGUUACAGCAAUUUGGUUUGUUUUUUCAAUAACAGGCAUAAUAUUAUAGUGGUCCUGGCAAAAUAAAAUAUUUUUUCAGGGAGGUUAGAAAAAUACUGGUCAAUACCGGUACCACAUAAGUUAAAAUACACCAAAUUUUUCAAUAUAAUUACCCCCAAAAUAAAAAUAUUACAAAAUACAUGGUUGCUUGUGGAAAAUGUGAGGUCAGGUGACUUAGCCUUCAAAAUAUGUUUUGGUUAACUAACUUGAAUAAUGUGAAAUGUGAAAAUAUGCCUUAAGUCUAAAUAUGACUUGAUCGUAGGCUAUAAACUGAACCUCAAACAAUAACGGUUUGAUGGAAUUAAACCAGAUCUUCACAUAUAUUAAACAGCAACUAUUAUAUUAAACAGCAAGCUAUAAUUUAGACAGACUCCUAAAGCUCAUACUAGUCUGAUAGAUGAGAUAUAACCUAUUGAGUCGCAUUGUGCCCUGAUGUGCCCUACUUUAUUAUUUUACUCUGUCUAACGCUAGACGAUUUUACUCGUCAGGGGGAAAGCGCUGGUUCUUAAUGGGUUAACUGGCCUAUUUGCCCAUGUGUCUAUUUAACCCAUUGAGUCGCAUUGCGCCCUGAUUUGCCCUACUUUAUUAUUUUACUCUGUCUAACACCAGACAAUUUUACUCGUCAGCACUGCAUGGCACUUGAUGGGUUAACUGGACUAUCUUCCCAUGUGUCUAAUAUUUAACCUUGUAUUGAGUUACAUUGCCCCCUGAUGUGCCCUACUUUAUUAUUUUAAUGAUCUGGGUUCUUGUACUUCACUUGGUGGAAUUAAUAUUAGAAUGUUAGGGUUUGUAAUCCAAGUGAGAAUAUAUACAUUUUUUAAGACCUAACCAGGAACGACUGCGAAAAAUGCAGCACAAGAUCCUCUGGUAGGAAUUGAACCAACGGCCCUGCGAUUCUGGUGAAUCUGAAUCGCAGGGCCGUAGGUUCCGAGCGCUGCACCGGAAUCGCAGGGCUGUAGGUUCAAUUCCUACUGGAGGACCUUGUGCUGCAUUUUUCGCAGUCGUUCCUGGUUAGGUCUUAAAAAAUGUAUAUAUUCUCACUUGGAUUACAAACCCUAACAUACUAAUAUUAAUUCCACCAAGUGAAGUGCAAGAAUCCAGAUCAUUGAAGUCCACCUUAUCACAACCCGCACACCCGAUUACCUAUAUAUACAUGAACUUACGGUUACAGCUAAACAGCUGACCUCUGUAGCUCAGUUGGUUAGAGCGCUGCACCGGAAUCGCAGGGCCGUAGGUUCAAUUCCUACCAGAGGACCUUCUGCUGCAUUUUUCGCAGUCGUUCCUGGUUAGGUCUUAAAAAAUGUAAUAUAUAUUCUCAAUUACAAACCCUAACAUUCUAACUUUAUUAUUUUACUCAGUCUAACGCCAGACGAUUUUACUUCUCAGGGGGAGAGCGCUGGUGCUUAAUGGGAUAAACAAGAAUUUUGCUGGGUAGAUAAUUUAUAUAACUUCAGCGAAACCAAAUUUACAUUGAGAUAACAUGUUAAAAUGUGAAAAAUAAAAUGGCUUAAGUCUAAAUAUGUCUUGAUCACAGGCUAUGAACUGAUCCUGAAACAAAAACGGUUUGAUGGAUUUAAUUACUGUAAACCAAUUAUUCACAUAUUAGAUGAUGAAUGUUUGGAAAGAUUACACAAUGCAAAUAUAUAGUUUACUGAUUGUAUUAUGGCUUUGUCGGCAGCUUACAUUGGUUUUGUUAUGGAUAUAUAGGGUGUUACACUUAUCUUCACAAAAUAUCAUAAAGCCACCUUAGCAGGCUGCACUGUAACUUAGACUCAUGAAGCUCAUGCUACUGAUAGAUUAGAUAUAGACGUCAAGUAUCUUGCUGGGUAAAUUUAUAUAACUUUAGUGAAACAAAAUAUGUACAUUAAGAUGACAUGCAUGUAACCAUGCAUGAGUCUUCAAACAAAAACGGUUUGAUGGAAUGAAACCAAACCUUCACAUAUUAGAGAAUGAAUGUUUGGAAAGAUUAUACAAUGAAAGUAUAUAGUUUAUUGAUAGUCUUAUGGCUUUGUCGGCUGCUUACAUUGGUUUGUUAUGAUUAUAUAGGGUGUUAAUUAUCUUCAUAAAACAUCAUAAAGCCACCUUAAUUAGCAUGCUACAGUAUAACUCAGACGUGGACUCAUGAAGCUUAUGAACCAAAUUUACAUUAAGAUGAUAUGUAGCCGGUCCACAAACAAAAACGGUUUGAUAGAAUUAAACCAGACCUUCACAUAUUUGAGAAUGAAUGUUUGAUAUUAUGGUUUGUCGGCAGCUUAUACAUUGGUUUUGUUAUGAGUAUAAGGUGUUAAUUAUCUUGAUAAAAUAUCAUAAAGCUAUACCUUAACAGGCUAUAAUUACUUUCGACAUAGACUCAUAAAGCUCAUGCAUGCUACUUAUAGAUGAGAUAUGGACAAGUAUUUUGCUGGGUAGAUUAUUUAUAUAAUUUCAGCAAAACCAAAUUUACAUUAAGAUGACAUGUUAAUUAAAAUGUGAAAAUAUGCCUUAAGUCUAAAUAUGACUAGUUGAUCGCAGGCUAUGAAUUGGUCCUCAAACAAAAACGGUUUGAUGGAAUUCAACCAGACCUUCACACAUUAGAGAAUGAAUGUUUGGAAAGAUUAUACAAUGAAAAUUUAUAGUUUAUUGAUAGUCCUAUGGCUUUGUCUAUAAUCUUUGUUGUGAUUAUAUACUGUAAGGUGUUAAAUACCUUGAUAAAACAUCAUAAAGUCACCUUAAUACAUUAUAGAUAACGUUAGACAUAGACUCAUGAAGCUCAUGCUACUUGAGAUAUAGACAAGAGAAUGAUUUGAGAUAUAAUAGAUAUAGAGAAAGAAUGUUUGGAAAGAUUAUACAAUGAAUUUCUUACCCUCUACAUUUUCUGCAACCUCCUUGCUACAUUGUUCUAGAAGUUACAUGAGCUGUUAAUAUUUGGUAUAAGCGGUAUAAGAGGAGAAAUUCAUCUCAACAUGCUUGUAAAAUUUUUCUUCACACAGGAAAAGAGAAAUGAUGUUGGCAAAUGGUGAUAGAUGUUAACCAAAGGCGAAGUUUCUUCCUUGCUGCUCUUAAAUCAUUCUUGCAUGUUGAAGUUGACAUUACUAAUGGAUAAGAUGUAGACUCAUCAAACACUGCAGGAUUGUGCACUCUGGAGUUAUGAAUGCUGCGUUCCUGUUGUUCUUUCGAGUCUAUAAAUGAAUGCCUUCUUUUGGAACAACCUUCAACAUUUGGCAUCGCAAUGUGGACUUUUUAAAGGGUGAGUCGAAAGGCAUGGUAAUGUGACGAGGCUAAUGAACAAUUUAGUUUUGUCGAUGCUUACUGCAAGUUUAAAGUACAGUACGUACAUGUAAUUCUUAUUUAGUAGUUCCUUGGGCAUUAUAGCUAGGUACAAGCCAAUAUAUACAGGGUGUAUAAAAAAAAGGAGACCUUUAGAAAACAAUUAGCAUAUUGUUAAAACUUGAAUGCCUUCUCAAUUGCACAUAUGCUGA
rnacentral:lncRNA from 1 species